UAACAGGUUAAGCUGACGAGUGGCGAACGGGUGAGUAAUAUAUCGGAACGUGCCCAGUCGUGGGGGAUAACUGCUCGAAAGAGCAGCUAAUACCGCAUACGACCUGAGAGUGAAAGCGGGGGAUCGCAAGACCUCGCGCGAUUGGAGCGGCCGAUAUCAGAUUAGGUAGUUGGUGGGGUAAAGGCCCACCAAGCCAACGAUCUGUAGCUGGUCUGAGAGGACGACCAGCCACACUGGGACUGAGACACGGCCCAGACUCCUACGGGAGGCAGCAGUGGGGAAUUUUGGACAAUGGGCGCAAGCCUGAUCCAGCCAUGCCGCGUGCGGGAAGAAGGCCUUCGGGUUGUAAACCGCUUUUGUCAGGGAAGAAAAGGUUCUGGUUAAUACCUGGGACUCAUGACGGUACCUGAAGAAUAAGCACCGGCUAACUACGUGCCAGCAGCCGCGGUAAUACGUAGGGUGCAAGCGUUAAUCGGAAUUACUGGGCGUAAAGCGUGCGCAGGCGGUUAUGCAAGACAGAGGUGAAAUCCCCGGGCUCAACCUGGGAACUGCCUUUGUGACUGCAUGGCUAGAGUACGGUAGAGGGGGAUGGAAUUCCGCGUGUAGCAGUGAAAUGCGUAGAUAUGCGGAGGAACACCGAUGGCGAAGGCA
rnacentral:rRNA from 1 species